rnacentral:rRNA from 1 species
AGAGUUUGAUCAUGGCUCAGAACGAACGCUGGCGGCAUGCCUAACACAUGCAAGUCGAACGAGGGCUUCGGCCCUAGUGGCGCACGGGUGAGUAACGCGUGGGACCUGCCCUGUGGUACGGAAUAACUCCGGGAAACUGGAGCUAAUACCGUAUGCGUCCUGCGGGACAAAGAUUUAUCGCCAUGGGAUGGGCCCGCGUAGGAUUAGCUUGUUGGCGGGGUAACGGCCCACCAAGGCUACGAUCCUUAGCUAGUCUGAGAGGAUGAUCAGCCACACUGGGACUGAGACACGGCCCAGACUCCUACGGGAGGCAGCAGUGGGGAAUAUUGGACAAUGGGCGCAAGCCUGAUCCAGCAAUGCCGCGUGAGUGAUGAAGGCCUUCGGGUUGUAAAGCUCUUUCGCACGCGACGAUGAUGACGGUAGCGUGAGAAGAAGCCCCGGCUAACUUCGUGCCAGCAGCCGCGGUAAUACGAAGGGGGCUAGCGUUGUUCGGAAUUACUGGGCGUAAAGGGCGCGUAGGCGGUGCAUCAAGUCAGGCGUGAAAGCCCCGGGCUCAACCUGGGAACCGCGCUUGAGACUGGUGCGCUAGAGUUCGGGAGAGGAUGGUGGAAUUCCCAGUGUAGAGGUGAAAUUCGUAGAUAUUGGGAAGAACACCGAUGGCGAAGGCAGCCAUCUGGACCGACACUGACGCUGAGGCGCGAAAGCGUGGGGAGCAAACAGGAUUAGAUACCCUAGUAGUCC